GAAGUCGAUGGAAUGAGCGUCGGACUGGUGACUAACACGUACAGAACCUGCCCUCAUGUCUGGGAUAACCGCCAUCAAUCCGGGCUAAUACCGGAUGGGUCAUCGGACCCCAUGGUCCAACGAUGAAAUGCGCUUCAGCGUCACCUGGGGAUGGCUUUGCAGUGCAUUAGCUAGUUGGUGGGGUAAUGGCCCACCUGAGCCACGAUGCAUACUCCACCUGAAAGGGUGAUCGGCCACUCUGGGACUGAGACACAGCCCAUACUCCUACAGUACGCAGCGAUAGGUAAUCUUCCUCAAUGUACGAAAGUCUGAUGGAGCAACUCCUCGUGAAC
rnacentral:rRNA from 1 species